AGUUCCUACGGGGGGCAGCAGUGGGGAAUAUUGCACAAUGGGGGAAACCCUGAUGCAGCGACGCCGCGUGAGUGAAGAAGUAUUUCGGUAUGUAAAGCUCUAUCAGCAGGGAAGAAAAUGACGGUACCUGACUAAGAAGCCCCGGCUAACUACGUGCCAGCAGCCGCGGUAAUACGUAGGGGGCAAGCGUUAUCCGGAUUUACUGGGUGUAAAGGGAGCAUAGACGGUAGAACAAGUCUGAAGUGAAAGCCCGCGGCUCAA
rnacentral:rRNA from 1 species